AUACGGAGGGUGCAAGCGUUACUCGGAAUCACUGGGCGUAAAGCGCGCGCAGGCGGCUAUUUAAGUUGGAUGUGAAAGCCUACGGCUCAACCGUAGAACUGCAUCCAAAACUAUUUAGCUAGAGUGUGGGAGAGGAAGAUGGAAUUAGUUGUGUAGGGGUAAAAUCCGUAGAGAUAACUAGGAAUACCAAAAGCGAAGGCAAUCUUCUGGAACACUACUGACGCUGGGGCGCGAAAGCGUGGGGAGCAAACGGGAUUAGAAACCCUAGUAGUCCC
rnacentral:rRNA from 1 species